rnacentral:rRNA from 1 species
UACAGAGGUCUCAAGCGUUGUUCGGAUUCAUUGGGCGUAAAGGGUGCGUAGGCGGCGCGGUAAGUCGGGUGUGAAAUCUCGGAGCUUAACUCCGAAACUGCAUUCGAUACUGCCGUGCUUGAGGACUGGAGAGGAGACUGGAAUUUACGGUGUAGCGGUGAAAUGCGUAGAUAUCGUAAGGAAGACCAGUGGCGAAGGCGGGUCUCUGGACAGUUCCUGACGCUGAGGCACGAAGGCGUGGGGAGCGAACGGG